rnacentral:rRNA from 1 species
UACAGAGGUGGCAAGCGUUGUUCGGAAUUACUGGGCGUAAAGGGCGCGUAGGCGGUUCGCUAAGUCCUGUGUGAAAUCCCCCGGCUCAACUGGGGAACUGCACAGGAAACUAGCGGGCUUGAGUUCGGGAGAGGGAAGCGGAAUUCCGGGUGUAGCGGUGAAAUGCGCAGAUAUCAGGAAGAACACCCGUGGCGAAGGCGGUUCUCUGGGACGGUACUGACGCUGAGACGCGAAAGCGUGGGGAGCGAACAGG